CCUACGGGUGGCAGCAGUAGGGAAUCUUCCACAAUGGACGCAAGCCUGAUGGAGCAACGCCGCGUGAGUGCAGAAGGGUUUCGGCUCGUAAAGCUCUGUUGGUAGUGAAGAAAGAUAGAGAUAGUAACUGUCCUUUAUUUGACUUUAAUUACUUAGAAAGUCACGGCUACCUACGUGCCAGCAGCCGCUGUAAUACGUAGGUGGCAAGCGUUGACCGGAUUUAUUUGGCGUAAAGCGAGUGCAGGCGGUUCAAUAAGUCUGAUGUGAAAGCCUUCGGCUCAACCGGAGAAUGGCAUCAGAAACUGUUGAACUUGAGUGCAGAAGAGGAGAGUGGAACUCCAUGUGUAGCGGUGGAAUGCGUAGAUAUAUGGAAGAACACCAGUGGCGAAGGCGGCUCUCUGGUCUGCAACUGACGCUGAGGCGCGAAAGCAUGGGUAGCGAACAGGAUUAGAUACCCGGGUAGUC
rnacentral:rRNA from 1 species